UAUUGGUCAAUGGACGAGAGUCUGAACCAGCCAAGUAGCGUGAAGGAUGACUGCCCUUUGGGUUGUAAACUUCUUUUAUAUGGGAAUAAAGUGGUUCACGUGUGGAUUUUUGUAUGUACCAUAUUAAUAAGGAUCGGCUAACUUCGUGCAAGCAGCCGCGGUAAUACGGAGGAUCCGAGCGUUAUCCGGAUUUAUUGGGUUUAAAGGGAGCGUAGGUGGGCAGUUAAGUCAGUUGUGAAAGUUUGCGGCUCAACCGUAAAAUUGCAGUUGAUACUGGCUGUCUUGAGUACAGUAGAAGUGGGCGGAAUUCGUGGUGUAGCGGUGAAAUGCUUAGAUAUCACGGAGAACUCCGAUUGCGAAGGCAGCUCACUGGACUGCAACUGACACUGAUGCUCGAAAGUGUGGGUAUCAAACAGG
rnacentral:rRNA from 1 species